AUCGCUUCUUGGCCUUUUGGCUAAGAUCAAGUGUAUAUAUGUUAUACAUUAGAUCCUCAGGCCUUACUCAUUUUUUUUUUAAUUUUUUUUUCAACGUUUAUUUAUUUUUUUGGGACAGAGAGAGACAGAGCAUGAACGGGGAGGGGCAGAGAGAGAGGGAGACACAGAAUCGGAAACAGGCUCCAGGCUCUGAGCCAUC